rnacentral:rRNA from 1 species
CCUACGGGGGGCAGCAGUGGGGAAUAUUGGACAAUGGGGGCAACCCUGAUCCAGCCAUGCCGCGUGUGUGAAGAAGGCCCUCGGGUUGUAAAGCACUUUCAGUGAGGAAGAACGCCUGGUGGUUAAUACCCAUCAGGAAAGACAUCACUCACAGAAGAAGCACCGGCUAACUCCGUGCCAGCAGCCGCGGUAAUACGGAGGGUGCGAGCGUUAAUCGGAAUUACUGGGCGUAAAGCGCGCGUAGGUGGCUUGAUAAGCCGGUUGUGAAAGCCCCGGGCUCAACCUGGGAACGGCAUCCGGAACUGUCAAGCUAGAGUGCAGGAGAGGAAGGUAGAAUUCCCGGUGUAGCGGUGAAAUGCGUAGAGAUCGGGAGGAAUACCAGUGGCGAAGGCGGCCUUCUGGACUGACACUGACACUGAGGUGCGAAAGCGUGGGUAGCAAACAGGAUUAGAUACCCCGGUAUC